rnacentral:lncRNA from 1 species
CCAAUGGCCAAGAUGUGUCUCUCUUUCCAGGUUCUGUCAUCCGCCCCACCCCAAGAUGCCAUGGCAACCACCCUGGCCAAAGAUAUUUAUUCCACCUGGUGACCACAAGGGGCCUGGAACUGAUGCCGCAAUAGCUGCAAGGUGUGCCUGUGUCUAUCAAACCCGCCC